GAUGAACGCUGGCGGCGUGCCUAAUACAUGCAAGUAGAACGCUGAAGGAGGAGCUUGCUCUUCUGGAUGAGUUGCGAACGGGUGAGUAACGCGUAGGUAACCUGCCUGGUAGCGGGGGAUAACUAUUGGAAACGAUAGCUAAUACCGCAUGACAACAGUUAUUGCAUGAUAACUGUUUAAAAGGGGCAACUGCUCCACUACCAGAUGGACCUGCGUUGUAUCAGCUAGUUGGUGAGGUAACGGCUCACCAAGGCGUCGAUACAUAGCCGACCUGAGAGGGUGAUCGGCCACACUGGGACUGAGACACGGCCUAGACUCCUACGGGAGGCAGCAGUAGGGAAUCUUCGGCAAUGGACGGAAGUCUGACCGAGCAACGCCGCGUGAGUGAAGAAGGUUUUCGGAUCGUAAAGCUCUGUUGUAAGAGAAGAACGAGUGUGAGAGUGGAAAGUUCACACUGUGACGGUAUCUUACCAGAAAGGGACGGCUAACUACGUG
rnacentral:rRNA from 1 species